rnacentral:tRNA from 1 species
GGGGAUGUAGCUCAGUUGGUAGAGUGCUUGCCUCGCAUGCAUAAGGCCCUGGGUUUGAAUCCUGGGCACCA